UUUCGGUUUGGUUUCGGUUUUGGCAAAAAACCGAACCGUUUCAAACCGAACCCAGCCCUAUGUGUGCCGAAAAAUAUUUUUUUUUUGUUUUUUAAAUAUUUGCUUUCUAGGUUUUUUAUGAGAUGAGUUAUUUGUUUUUAACAGGUUUGCAAGCAUCCUAACAAAAUAGGGUUUGUAAGUUAGGAAAGAGAGAGAAUGAGAUUAGAGGGUAUUGAUAAAGUGACACAAUUGUGAGGUUUUUUUAAGAAAAAGUAAAAACUUGUUUGUACAAAAUUACUUCAAUGCCCACAUUGUUUUUUUUCUAAUAUCUUCUUUUAGUUUUGUAUUAAAGGGUAUACUAGUAAUUUUAUUAGUUUUUUUUGUUGACAAAUAGUGUUUUAUUAAUAUGUAGUUUAGAUUAAAGAGUAUAGUAGUUAUUUUAUUAGAUUUUGAUUGACAAACCGUGUUUUAUUAGUAUGUAGUUUAAAUAAAACAUGAAACUCAUAAGGGACUCAGCUCGCGAGGGGUGUUGGGCCUUAGCAUGCAAGGCAAAAACCUUUGAGAACAUUAACGAGCCCGCGAGGAUCCCAACUUCAUCCCUCCUCCUCCUACUAAUUCCAGCUUGGUGGCAGGUGUAGAUGAAAGUGCACCCAAAAAAGCAUCCAUUGGUGUACUUGCAACAUCAACGACUAAAUAUAGAAAGAAAAAAAUUGAAACUUAGAAAACCCAAAAAUGCACACAUUGGUGUUCUUGCAACACCCAGAAAAAGCACCCAAGUAAAAUCAAUAGUAUUAAAUAUUUUUUAGAAAAAAAAAAUGAAACUUAGAAAACCACUAUAAAUUUGACUGCAACGCCGUCACCACGAAAUUAACAAAAUAUUAUGAAUUUACAAACAAAUUUACCACUUUAAUUGGUGUCCCAAAGAAAGCUUUUGACAUUUGCUAGCUAAUCUUUGGCUUAGGUCAUAUACAUUUAGAAUAACCUUGUGAUCCUCCUACAACUGAAUUAAUACUUCAAGUCAAUAACUGCAUUACAAAGUUUGUAAUACAAACCAAGAAAGGAAGUCAACGAAAUGAAACACUAAAAAACAAUUUUAUGACAGGCCCCUGAAAUUGACUCACCUUAUCAAGACGAUCUUGAAAUUGAAAAUCAAUGUAGUCCUUAAAAAUGAGUGUCGCAAAUCAAUGUGGUCUUCUCAUCACAGUUUUGUCAAAAAUUCUGUUAUGUGUUGAUGUUACAUAUAACUACGUCUCUCAAACCUAAACAAAUAUUGACAUGUGAAUUAAAUAUAUUUAAAUAAAAAAUAACAAUUUCUAUUUUUGUAUAAUUAAAAGCUUGAAGAAAAAAAAAAAAGGAAAAAAACCCCUCCCACCUGAGCACAACCACGCUGUUGAAGUUUUGGUUUAAGUUUUCUUGUAUUACUGAUAAUGUGAAUGUACAAGGAUACACAUAUAUAAAAGAAAAGAAAAGAAAAACCAGUUACAUCCAACGGUCCUUAAGCUAAACCCUAGAUACCAGCUAUACUCCUUAAUUGAAAUAGAUUACACCAAACACUAGAUAUCAGCCAUACUCCUUAAUUGAAGGAAACCAACUACAAGACUAAAAAGAGAUUUACACAUAAUCUGUCAGGAAACACAGAAGGUGGGGGGGGUAAACAGAUUGUUUUUCAUGCCAUAUUUUCGGAUUUUUACCACCUAUCACUUCUAAAAGUUGUUACUCACUGUUUUUAAGUGUUUUUAUUGUGUUUUGAAGUGUUUUUAUGUCAUAUAACAGAAAAAGAAAGAAAAAAAUCGAAAAAGUUUUGAAAAACCGAAAAAGAGUCGUUUUUAGAGUUGUUUUGUUUUGUUUGUGUGUAUCUUAGGGUACCUUCCAACAUAAUGAUGAGGAUUUGGUUUUAAUUGCAUGACUAUUAAAGAAAGUUACAAACAUGGGUGGAAGUUUGAUAUACUCUUUGGUUUAUGCUUGGUUGUUGUUAACGUUUACGAAUUCACAUGUAAUCGCAAAGGAAAAAAAAAAUCAGUUUUUGUAACAUGCUUGAAGGAAGGAACUCAAACUAACGCUACAACCCUGAGAGACUUGAGCCUAAACUUUAUUUGGAGAGUUAUUAAUUUGUGAUUUCUUGUUUUCUAAAGUCGUUGCAUGAUCUCAUUAUUCUUUGCUUGGUUGCUACUUAGAAUGCAUUUUAUCACUUUAGUUCCAAAUACUAGAACUCAUGCCCGUUUCAUUCAAAACUUAAAAUUGAGUGCAUAACAUAUAACAAGAUGAAGUUGUUUAGUAGUUACCACUAGAGCCAAAAAGCCUUCAUCCCAUGCAUUUGUUUUGUAGGUUUAACCCCUUUGAGCCUUAUUUAGCCUAUUUUCGUUGUUAACCACUGUUGGAAAUAUGCCCUGAAAGUCAAUCUUUGGAAGAAACCUUUCAGGACAAAUAAAUCGAUGUAUAGAUGAAUCUUAUACAUCUAUUGGCAAAGAUACUAAUUAGGACUAUCUCAAUAAACGAUAUAUGCCCUAAAUAGUGUAUCCAUGGACAAUGGAUCGAUUGAAGAAGUAAUCUAAUGAUGUUAGACUACAGAGAC
rnacentral:lncRNA from 1 species